rnacentral:rRNA from 1 species
UACGAAGGGGCUAGCGUUGCUCGGAAUUACUGGGCGUAAAGGGCGCGUAGGCGGACAGUUUAGUCAGAGGUGAAAGCCCAGGGCUCAACCUUGGAAUUGCCUUUGAUACUGGCUGUCUUGAGUUCGGGAGAGGUGAGUGGAAUGCCGAGUGUAGAGGUGAAAUUCGUAGAUAUUCGGCGGAACACCAGUGGCGAAGGCGGGUCUCUGGGCCGAUACUGACGCUGAGGAGCGAAAGCGUGGGGAGCAAACAGG